rnacentral:piRNA from 1 species
UGUGAAGCUGUGUUGUUCUUUGAACCAAU